rnacentral:misc_RNA from 1 species
GAUGAAGAACGUAGCGAAAUGCGAUACGUAGUGUGAAUUGCAGAAUUCAGUGAAUCAUCGAAUCUUUGAACGCACAUUGCACCUCUCGGUAUUCCGGGGGGUAUGCCUGUUCGAGCGUCAUUUGUACCCUCAAGCUCUGCUUGGUGUUGGGUGUUUGUUCCGCCUCUGUGUGUGAACUCGCCUCAAAACAAUUGGCAGCCGGCGUACUUGUUUCGGAGCGCAGCACAUUUUGCGAUCCAGAUCAACGUACAGCGGCAUCCAAGAAGCCUUAUUUAACGCUCUUGACCUCGGAUCAGGUAGGGAUACCCGCUGAACUUAAGCAUAUCAAUAAGCGGAGGA